GACGAACCGUGCGAACGUUGUUCGGAAUCACUGGGCUUAAAGGGCGCGUAGGCGGGCGCCCCAGUCUGCGGUGAAAGCCCCCGGCUCAACCGGGGAACGGCCGCGGAUACUGGGCGCCUCGAGGGGGGUAGGGGCACGCGGAACGCCGGGUGGAGCGGUGAAAUGCGUUGAGAUCGGAAGGAACGCCCGUGGCGAAAGCGAGGUCCUGGACGUUUUCUGACGCUGAGACGCGAAAGCCAGGGGAGCGAACGGG
rnacentral:rRNA from 1 species